AACGAACGCUGGCGGCAUGCCUAACACAUGCAAGUCGAACGAGCCCUUCCUGUCUAUUGGCGGACGGUUGCGUAACGAGCGGGAGUGUGCCCUUCGGGUGGGCAUCCCUGAGAGCAAUUUCAACUACUACCUUAUAAUGUCUUCGGAGCGGAGACUUAUCGCAGAGGGAUGAGCCCGCGUAGGAUUAGGUAGUUGGUGGGGUAAUGGCGUACCAAGCCGACGAUGCUUAGCUGGUCUGGGAGGGUGAUCAGGCACACUGGGACUGAGACACGGGCCGGGCUCGGUCGUGAGGAAUCAGUGGGAAACAUUGGACGCGGGGCCGAAUGCUGAUCCAGCAAUUCCGCGUGAGUGAUGAAGGUCUUAGGUGUGUAAAGCUCUGUUAGCCGGGAUGAUAAUGACGGUACCGGGAGAAGAAGCGCCGGCUAACUCCGUG
rnacentral:rRNA from 1 species